AGGGAUGGGCGAUAUUAUAUCGUUUGCGAUAUACCGGUAGAAAUUCCCCACACGAUAGGAAUUAGUCUUCCCGCGAUAUAAACGAUAAAUUCUAGUUGAUGACGUCAUCCCCUCUCUUUGUAGAUAUCUUUGUGAGACCCAUUCACAGCUCACAUGUGAAGUGAAAACGGGUAUAGCGGAGGGCGGACGUGAAGCUGAGAAAGAGUUUGCACUAAAGCUCUAAAUCUCGUUUAGGUUGGCACUGUAGAUGCGUCCGAGUUAAUGUUUAGUUUCACUUUCGUUUUAUUUAAUUCGUUUGUUAAGUAUUCGUUGAUAGUCAUAAUGCGUUACACCACAACAUUUAGUUUGGCUAAAAGUAUUUAUUUAAACAUUCGUUAGAUGUUAUGCGCGCGUGCGCAAAUAGUUUAGUAUGAUUUCUUGCCUGUUAUAUACAGGAUGAACGGAGCGUCCCGUGCGCAGCUCGCGCCCACAUGUGCUUUCAUAGCGACACAGCGCGCACAGCACUGCUGCCUGUUUACAUACAGUACACAUGCGAGUUUGUAUUACGUUAUUUUAAAUACGUUUAUGAGCGUAUAAAAGCAUGGAUUAUUUAAUUAGAUUUCUUUUACCCGCAUUUUUCUGUUCUCUUUCUGUAGCGCGAGUCAUAGACAGAUUCAGUGUAUGUUGCUGUGAGAAGAGAAGGUUCACACAGUUCAAGAGAGAGUGAUUGACAGCGUGAUGCGAUCGAUUGUUUCCACCCAACAAUAGAAUAUAUACAGUUUUAGGUAUGACAUGAUGUGUUUAUUGAGCUUUAGUUCAUUUAACUUUUCUUUACUACAACCUUUUGAAGUCGAAUCUCACUAUUACAUUUUAUAUUUACAAAAACACUGUAGGUAUAUUUUAGGAGCUGUUUGAUUUGGGGUAAGUUUUACUUUUUGAUAAUAUUUGUUUUUCUGAGGGUCUAGACUACAUGCAGCUACUAUCACUUGACGCAAAAAAACAGCGGUGGAUGACAUUAUGGAUAUAUCGUCAUUUUUAUCGUUAUCGCAAGAAAUACCAGGAAUUAUCGUGAUAAAGUUUUAGGGCCAUAUCGCCCAUCCCUAAUCUAAAGGGCAAUCUUUGGUCUUAUAAAUCUAUCAUUUGCCCCUGGAGAAAUCGUUUUGACUGAGGGCAAAAUUAAGUUACAUAACUUUAAUCUGUUCUUUAACUUUAGUCUGAAGGAGCGGAUGGAGAAAUAGUCCCAAUAUACCACAAUUGAAAUAAACCUUCUUCUGAACAUAUAUAUAUUUAGAUGAAUAUUUAGGAGAACACAUAUGCGUGUGUCGGAAGGAUCACUGCUCACUCGGGAUCAAUCCGCACAUAACUGCCGGAGUCACUUUCCGCCUGUUUCACACAAGUCGGGCAGCCGUUUUCUCAAGUUCACGUCAGGUCUAUGCAUAAUUUAAACGAAUCACUGGAGGAAUCUGCACUCAACUUUCCACAAAGCCCGUGCUAAAAUCUGAUCUGUAUCCAUCCAGAAGAGACCACAGAUAUAGACAUGCAUCGAUCGAGGGCAGCAAGAGAUUUUCUCCAUAGGAAUUCACUAUAAUAAACUCAAAAUACCUAUGUUUUGCGUGUUUUUGCUG